CCCUUAGAUGUUCUGGGCCGCACGCGCGCUACACUGACGAAUGCAACGAGCUUAUAACCUUGGCCGGAAGGUCUGGGUAAUCUCCAAAUUUCGUCGUGAUGGGGAUAGAUUAUUGCAAUUAUUAAUCUUCAACGAGGAAUGCCUAGUAAGCGCAAGUCAUCAGCUUGCGUUGAUUACGUCCCUGCCCUUUGUACACACCGCCCGUCGCUCCUACCGAUUGAAUGGUCCGGUGAAGCGUUCGGACCGUGGCCUUUGGACGGUUCGCCGUCUGUUGGCUGCGGGAAGUUCGUUAAACCUUAUCAUUUAGAGGAAGGAGAAGUCGUAACA
rnacentral:rRNA from 1 species